rnacentral:rRNA from 1 species
CAAUCAAACCGGGAGAUAGCUGGUUCUCCCCGAAAGCUAUUUAGGUAGCGCCUCGUGAAUUCAUCUCCGGGGGUAGAGCACUGUUUCGGCUAGGGGGCCAUCCCGGCUUACCAACCCGAUGCAAACUGCGAAUACCGGAGAAUGUUAUCACGGGAGACACACGGCGGGUGCUAACGUCCGUCGUGAAGAGGGAAACAACCCAGACCGCCAGCUAAGGUCCCAAAGUCAUGGUUAAGUGGGAAACGAUGUGGGAAGGCCCAGACAGCCAGGAUGUUGGCUUAGAAGCAGCCAUCAUUUAAAGAAAGCGUAAUAGCUCACUGGUCGAGUCGGCCUGCGCGGAAGAUGUAACGGGGCUAAACCAUGCACCGAAGCUGCGGCAGCGAACGUAUCACCCAAGACAACUUUACGGAGUUGACGAUUGACGGAGCGAAGCGACGUCAAAGCGUUCAUUAAAGUCGAGUUGGCUUAGGGAUACGUUCGUUGGGUAGGGGAGCGUUCUGUAAGCCUGUGAAGGUGUGUCGUGAGGCAUGCUGGAGGUAUCAGAAGUGCGAAUGCUGACAUAAGUAACGAUAAAGCGGGUGAAAAGCCCGCUCGCCGGAAGACCAAGGGUUCCUGUCCAACGUUAAUCGGGGCAGGGUGAGUCGACCCCUAAGGCGAGGCCGAAAGGCGUAGUCGAUGGGAAACGGGUUAAUAUUCCCGUACUUGGUGUUACUGCGAAGGGGGGACGGAGAAGGCUAUGUUGGCCGGGCGACGGUUGUCCCGGUUUAAGCGUGUAGGUGUGUGUUCCAGGUAAAUCCGGUUCACUUUAACAC